GACGAACGCUGGCGGCGUGCUUAACACAUGCAAGUCGAACGGUAAGGCCCCAGCUUGCUGGGGUACACGAGUGGCGAACGGGUGAGUAACACGUGGGUGACCUGCCCUGCACUUCGGGAUAAGCCUGGGAAACUGGGUCUAAUACCGGAUAGGACCGCACCGUGAGGGUGUGGUGGAAAGUUUUUCGGUGUGGGAUGGGCCCGCGGCCUAUCAGCUUGUUGGUGGGGUAAUGGCCUACCAAGGCGGCGACGGGUAGCCGGCCUGAGAGGGUGGACGGCCACAUUGGGACUGAGACACGGCCCAGACUCCUACGGGAGGCAGCAGUGGGGAAUAUUGCACAAAGGGCGGAAGCCUGAUGCAGCGACGCCGCGUGGGGGAUGACGGCCUUCGGGUUGUAAACUCCUUUCACCAUCGACGAAGGUUUUCUGACGGUAGAUGGAGAAGAAGCACCGGCUAACUACGUG
rnacentral:rRNA from 1 species